GGGUAUAUAGCUUAGCGGUAGAGCGCAUGCUUAGCAUGCACAAGGUCCUAGGUUCAAUCCCCAGUACCUCCA
rfam:Camelus ferus unplaced genomic scaffold scaffold2756, whole genome shotgun sequence.